rnacentral:rRNA from 1 species
GCAAGUCGAACGAGAAAGCUUUAGCUUGCUCGGAGGAGUAAAGUGGCGCACGGGUGAGUAACGCGUGGGUAACCUGCCCCUGAAUCUGGGAUAACUUCGCGAAAGCGUUGCUAAUACCGGAUAUUGUCCCUUUUGCUGUGGCAAGAGGGAUGAAAGGUGACCUAUCCAUGGAAGUUGCCGUUUAGGGAGGGGCUCGCGUACCAUUAGCUUGUUGGUGGGGUAAUGGCCCACCAAGGCUACGAUGGUUAGCUGGUCUGAGAGGAUGAUC